GCUAUUGCCUGGCCUGAAUUGGCCCAGCACCCAAACCCUCUUCCUUCCUCUGUCCCCGGCAGCUUGUACAAUAAUUGCAUCUGUGACAAAGGAGCGAAGAGCCUGGCACAAGUACUUCCGGACAUGGUGUCCCUGCGGGUGAUGGAUGUCCAGUUCAACAAGUUCACGGCUGCCGGAGCCCAGCAGCUGGCCUUCAGCCUUCAGAAGUGCCCUCAGGUGGAAACGCUGGCAAUGUGGACACCCACUAUCCCCUUUGGGGUUCAAGAACACCUGCAGCAGCUGGAUGCCCGGAUCAGCCUGAGAUGACCCUGCUGUACUCUGGACAAGGACAGAGUGAGGAAAUGAAGCAUCCAAGUGCCUGCCUGUCCAGGGUAGGCCAGCCUGGUGAGAAAGCAUGUCUUCCCGCUGCUCCCAACAGGGCCUCCCGGAGGUUCUGAAGAUGCUAAGGGCAACACUGGCCUGCAGACCUCUAGAUGUGACAGGGGGCCUAUGGUAGAUAUUUUCACUUGUGGCACUGUUUCCAUAAACUUUAGGUCAAAGCUGAGUCAGGCGUGGCCCAGACCCUGGAUGUGAACCAAGAACCAGGGAAUGGUCCGCCUCAGGGCUGCUGCAGGGCUUGGUCUAUCCCACAAGUCCCAUCUGAGGACACCUUCUGCCCCAUCUAAUGCAACAAACAAAACAAAACAAAACAACAGCCAAACUACAAUGACUUAAAACAAUCCACACUCUGCAGCCAGGCAGGCUCAGCCAUUUCCACCAAGACAGAAGUCAGGCUGGAAUCAUCUUGAGUGUAUGUCUAGCAUGUGACACAGGUUGCUGGCUGGGAGCCCCGAGUCCUUAAUGAGACAGCUGGCUGGCACUUGCCCUCCUCGUAGCAUUAUAGCUAUGUUAUAGGGGGACCACCCAGAGAGGAGAAAGCGAGGAGACACAAGCCAGCAGAGACAGUCUGUAGACUGUUCAGAACAGGCCUGGAGGCCACACCGCAUUGUUUCUACAACACUCCGCACGUGCCCACGUGCAUACCACACAGCCUACCACUGCUGAGAUCUGCCUUCCCUGCAAAGAUCUUCAGAGCCUCCGAAGAUACAAUGAAAAGUUCCUGGACCUGAGGACUGAAGCAGUGACUGCUGUACAAAGUGGAGUGUUCUCCCCUACUGCCCUGCUGCAUCCUGGGAGCAGUUCUGUAUAACCGAGUUGGCCAGCUUUGGCUACAGCUAGCCCAAAGGGCUUGGCAGUACCAGUGCUGCUGUUCCUGUUAUCUCUGGGACACUACCUUUGAGCUCAGGCAUCAUUGAUCCCUCCACCGGGACAGUGACAGCUUGCUUUCUUGUCUUGGCAGAGGGAGCUGUCUAGGUCGCUCCACCAUGCCAGCCCUGAUGCCAGCAAGACUGGCACAUCCCAGGAAGUGGGAACUUUGGUAGAGGGCUUGGGGCUGGGGUGGUCUGCGUGGCUGCUGCGGGUGAUUCUUGAAGAGACAGAUCCAGCUGCAGCUCAGGCUUACAUUAUGAACUGUUAGAGCCUCAGGCUCAGGGUGGCACAUGGAAGUCCCAUUUGUGUGGCCACAGAGGACAGCACUGAGGCACUCUCCAAGGCAGACGUCUGCUGUACCUGUCAGAAAGGAAGGCAGAUCUGUAUCGCUGCUUUUGGUCUGUCUGAAAAUGCCAAAAAAAAAAAAAAAAAAAAAAAAAAAAAAAAAAAAAAAAAAAAAAAAAAAGUCUCUCAUUACUCUAUGUUAAUGGCUGCCAUCUUCUAAUGCGUUGAUUAAGUAAGGCACAUAUGUCCAGGGACAUAGUAAAUGUUCAACAUAUCUCACUGGUUCUUGAUCCUGUGUGCUGGUAAGCAUUCUUAGGCCCUUUGGCUCCAAAGGAUUGCACAACACCAACUUCCAGCUAAGCUGCCUGGUUUCAUGCUCUAUUUUGACAUAUAUGCAAGGCAAGUUUCUUCUGUGCCUCAGCUUCCUUAUCUGUAAAAUGGGCAAAGUCACAGUAUCUUCUCUCUUGGGUUAUGUAAAGGCUCAAUGUAGAAACAAUAUUAAUAAAAUGGGUCAGCAAAAUGGCUGAGGGGUAAA